AACGAACGCUGGCGGCAGGCCUAACACAUGCAAGUCGAACGCCCGGCCAGGGAGGCGGCGGACGGGUGGGUAACGCGUGGGGGCGUAGCUUUUGGUUCGUAACAACUCCGGGAAACUGGGGCUAAUACGGGAGAAGCCCUAACGGGAAAAGAUAUAUCGCCGAAAGAUGGGCGCACGUCGGCUUAGCUAGUUGGCGGGGUAACGGCCCACCAGGCCGACGAUCAGGAGCUGGGCUGAGAGGAUGAUCAGCCACACUGGAACUGAGACACGGCCCAGACUCCUACGGGAGGCAGCAGUGGGGACUAUUGGGCAAUGGGCGCAAGCCUGAUCCAGCCAUACCGCGUGGGUGAAGAAGGCCUUCGGGUUGUAAAGCCCUUUUGUUGGGAAAGAAAAGCAGCCUUUUUAUACCCCGCUGUUCUGACGGUACCCAAAGAAUAAGCCCCGGCUAACCUCGUG
rnacentral:rRNA from 1 species